CCUACGAGUGGCAGCAGUGAGGAAUAUUGGUCAAUGGGCGCGAGCCUGAACCAGCCAAGUAGCGUGAAGGAUGACGGCCCUACGGGUUGUAAACUUCUUUUAUAAAGGAAUAAAGUGAGGCACGUGUGCCUUUUUGUAUGUACUUUAUGAAUAAGGAUCGGCUAACUCCGUGCCAGCAGCCGCGGUAAUACGGAGGAUACGAGCGUUAUCCGGAUUUAUUGGGUUUAAAGGGAGCGUAGGCGGGUUGUUAAGUCAGUUGUGAAAGUUUGCGGCUCAACCGUGGAAUUGCAAUUGAUACUGGCAGUCUUGAGUGCAGUUGAGGUAGGCGGAAUUCGUGGUGUAGCGGUGAAAUGCUUAGAGAUCACGAAGAACUCCGAUUGCGAAGGCAGCUUACUAAGCUGCCACUGACGUUGAUGCUCGAAAGUGUGGGUAGCAAACAGGAUUAGAUACCCUGGUAGUC
rnacentral:rRNA from 1 species